CCUACGGGUGGCAGCAGUGAGGAAUAUUGGUCAAUGGGCGAGAGCCUGAACCAGCCAAGUCGCGUGAAGGAUGACGGCCCUACGGGUUGUAAACUUCUUUUGUCAGGGAGCAAUUGGGUCCACGCGUGGGCUUAGCGAGAGUACCUGAAGAAAAAGCAUCGGCUAACUCCGUGCCAGCAGCCGCGGUAAUACGGAGGGUGCGAGCGUUAUCCGGAGUGACUGGGUGUAAAGAGUUGCGUAGGUGGCAUAAGCAGUAGCUAGUGAAAUCUGGUGGCUCAACCAUUCAGACUAUUAGCUAAACUGUUAAGCUCGAGACCGUUAGGGGUAACUGGAAUUUCUAGUGUAGGAGUGAAAUCCGUAGAUAUUAGAAAGAACACCGAUAGCGUAGGCAGGUUACUGGGACGGUUCUGACACUAAGGCACGAAAGCGUAGGGAGCAAACGGGAUUAGAUACCCUAGUAGUC
rnacentral:rRNA from 1 species